UCGCUCAACGGAUAAAAGGUACUCCGGGGAUAACAGGCUGAUACCGCCCAAGAGUUCAUAUCGACGGCGGUGUUUGGCACCUCGAUGUCGGCUCAUCACAUCCUGGGGCUGAAGUAGGUCCCAAGGGUAUGGCUGUUCGCCAUUUAAAGUGGUACGCGAGCUGGGUUUAGAACGUCGUGAGACAGUUCGGUCCCUAUCUGCCGUGGGCGCUGGAGAAUUGAGGGGGGCUGCUCCUAGUACGAGAGGACCGGAGUGGACGCAUCACUGGUGUUCGGGUUGUCAUGCCAAUGGCACUGCCCGGUAGCUAAAUGCGGAAGAGAUAAGUGCUGAAAGCAUCUAAGCACGAAACUUGCCCCGAGAUGAGUUCUCCCUGAGACU
rnacentral:rRNA from 1 species